GCCUGGGUAGCUCAGUCGGUUAAGCAUCUGGCUUUAGCCCAGGUCAUGAUCUCAUAGUUUGUGAGUUCAAGCCCCACAUCGGGCU
rnacentral:tRNA from 1 species